UCAUCCUCCUUGGUGUAAUCGCCAGGUUGACGGUAGUUUCUGCUGACUGUGACAUCGGUAAAUUGAAUCUCAACCAAACAGAAUGGACUAAUUUUACAGGUACUUGGUAUUGGCUGUACCACAUCCCCCAUAAAUAUGACGACAACCUGGACUGUCCGGUGAUCACGUAUGAUGCAAUCACUAAACAGUUCGCAAGAAUAACAACCUACGUGUAUGUCAAGAGCACGCGCACUCGCGAUCGACUGGUGGGAACUGUUGUGGACUGGAACACCAAAGGAUAUUACGACGUCUAUUAUGCGGAGCCUAGUUGUGUAGCAAAUUGUUCAGUGACUGAAAGUUUCACCCGAACUCCAGAUUA